rnacentral:tRNA from 1 species
AUUUAUGUAGUUUAUAAAAAAAUUUUGAUUUGUGGAGUCAGGGAAGUUAUUUAACCAUAGAUA